GUUGUCGUGGCCGAGUGGUUAAGGCGAAUGACUAGAAAACUUUUAGGAUCUUCCCGCGCAGGUUCGAAUCCUGUCGACAUCG
rnacentral:tRNA from 1 species